rnacentral:rRNA from 1 species
AUUCCAGCUCCAAUAGCGUAUAUUAAAGUUGUUGCAGUUAAAAAGCUCGUAGUUGGAUUUCUGGUGAGUUCGUUUGGCCGGCCGUAAAGGUCUGUGCCGAAAUGUUAUUCGCCAUCCUUGGUGUAAUCUUGUCCGCCAUUAAGUUGUGUGGGCUUGAGGAUGCCAUCGUUUACUGUGAAAAAAUUAGAGUGUUCAAAGCAGGCUUAUGCCGUUGAAUACAUUAGCAUGGAAUAAUAAGAUAGGACCCUGGUACUAUUUUGUUGGUUUGCGUACCUAGGUAAUGAUUAAUAGGGACAGUUGGGGGUAUUUGUAUUCCGUUGUCAGAGGUGAAAUUCUUGGAUUUACGGAAGACAAACUACUGCGAAAGCAUUUACCAAGGAUGUUUUCAUUG